rnacentral:rRNA from 1 species
UACGGAGGGUGCAAGCGUUAUCCGGAUUCACUGGGUUUAAAGGGUGCGUAGGCGGGCAGGUAAGUCAGAGGUGAAAUCUCCGGGCUUAACCCGGAAACUGCCUUUGAUACUAUCUGUCUUGAAUAUGGUGGAGGUAAGCGGAAUAUGUCAUGUAGCGGUGAAAAUGCUUAGAGAUGACAUAGAACACCCAUUGCGAAGGCAGCUUACUACGCCUAUAUUGACGUGAGGCACGAAAAGCGUGGGGGAUCAAAACAGGG